rnacentral:rRNA from 1 species
UACGGGGGGGGGCAAGCGUUGUUCGGAAUUACUGGGCGUAAAGGGCUCGUAGGCGGCCAACUAAGUCAGACGUGAAAUCCCUCGGCUUAACCGGGGAACUGCGUCUGAUACUGGAUGGCUUGAGUUUGGGAGAGGGAUGCGGAAUUCCAGGUGUAGCGGUGAAAUGCGCAGAUAUCAGGAGGAACACCGGUGGCGAAGGCGGGUCUCUGGGCCGAAACUGACGCUGAGGAGCGAAAGCGUGGGGAGCGAACAGG